UUCUAUAAUCGAUAUUCCACGAUGGACCUUACUUAAAUUUGUUUAUCAGUUUAUAUACCGUCGUUAUUAGAAUAUUUUAUAAGAAUGUUAAUUUUCAUAAUUUUUAAAAAGAAAAUAUAUCAGAUCAAGGUGUAGCUUAUAUUUAAGUAGAAAUGGGUUACAAUAAAAUUAUUUUGUUGAAUAUAAAUUUGAAAUGUUUAUUGAAAUUGGAUUUGAUAGUAAAAUUAUAAAGAUUAUUAAUUUGAUUUUAGCUCUAAAAUAUGUACACAUCGCCCGUCACUCUUAUUAUUAAGGUAAGAUAAGUCGUAACAUAGUAGAUGUACUGGAAAGUGCCUCUAGAAUGCAAUUUAAAGCUUAAUAGUAAAGUAUUUCAUUUACAUUGAAGAGAUUUUUGUGCAAAUCAAUAUAAAUUGAUUAUAUUUUAUUUAUUAAUUUUUUUUUAAAAAAAAAUAAAUUUAUUAAAAAUAAUUAUAAAAAAUAAUGUUUUAGUAUUUUAUAAAAAAAAAUAAUUUUAAUAAUAGUUUAAUAGUAUUGUAAAAGAAAAUU
rnacentral:rRNA from 1 species